rnacentral:piRNA from 1 species
GGGUGUCUAGGGACAGAGUUCUGC